rnacentral:rRNA from 1 species
GAUUAACGCUAGCGGCAGGCCUAAUACAUGCAAGUCGAACGGUAACAGGUGUAGCAAUACAUGCUGACGAGUGGCGCACGGGUGCGUAACGCGUAUGCAACCUACCUAUGACUGGGGAAUAGCCUUCUGAAAGGAAGAUUAACACCGCAUAACAUCACGAAACGGCAUCGUUUUGUGAUCAAAUCUCCGGAGGUUAUAGAUGGGCAUGCGUGACAUUAGCUAGUUGGUGAGGUAACGGCUCACCAAGGCUACGAUGUCUAGGGGGUCUGAGAGGAUGACCCCCCACACUGGUACUGAGACACGGACCAGACUCCUACGGGAGGCAGCAGUAAGGAAUAUUGGACAAUGGGCGCAAGCCUGAUCCAGCCAUGCCGCGUGAAGGAUGAAGGCCCUCUGGGUUGUAAACUUCUUUUAUAUGGGAAUAAACCCCCGGUUUCUACCGGGGCUGAAUGUACCGUAAGAAUAGGGAUCGGCUAACUUCGUGCCAGCAGCCGCCGUAAAAC